AUGCAAGUCGAGGGGUAUAUGUCUUCGGAUAUAGAGACCGGCGCACGGGUGCGUAACGCGUAUGCAAUCUACCUUUUACAGAGGGAUAGCCCAGAGAAAUUUGGAUUAAUACCUCAUAGCAUAGUGACUCGGCAUCGAGAUACUAUUAAAGUCACAACGGUAAAAGAUGAGCAUGCGUCCCAUUAGCUAGUUGGUAAGGUAACGGCUUACCAAGGCUACGAUGGGUAGGGGUCCUGAGAGGGAGAUCCCCCACACUGGUACUGAGACACGGACCAGACUCCUACGGGAGGCAGCAGUGAGGAAUAUUGGACAAUGGGCGCAAGCCUGAUCCAGCCAUGCCGCGUGCAGGAUGACGGUCCUAUGGAUUGUAAACUGCUUUUGUACGAGAAGAAACACUCCUUCGUGAAGGAGCUUGACGGUAUCGUAAGAAUAAGGAUCGGCUAACUCCGUGCCAGCAGCCGCGGUAAUACGGAGGAUCCAAGCGUUAUCCGGAAUCAUUGGGUUUAAAGGGUCCGUAGGCGGUUUAGUAAGUCAGUGGUGAAAGCCCAUCGCUCAACGGUGGAACGGCCAUUGAUACUGCUAAACUUGAAUUAUUAGGAAGUAACUAGAAUAUGUAGUGUAGCGGUGAAAUGCUUAGAGAUUACAUGGAAUACCAAUUGCGAAGGCAGGUUACUACUAAUGGAUUGACGCUGAUGGACGAAAGCGUGGGUAGCGAACAGGAUUAGAUACCCUGGUAGUCCACGCCGUAAACGAUGGAUACUAGCUGUUGGAAGCAAUUUCAGUGGCUAAGCGAAAGUGAUAAGUAUCCCAC
rnacentral:rRNA from 1 species